rnacentral:rRNA from 1 species
UACGUAGGUGGCAAGCGUUGUCCGGAUUUACUGGGCGUAAAGGGCGUGCAGGCGGUUUGUUAAGUCUAGGGUGAAAGCUCCCGGCUCAACUGGGAGAGGUCCUUGGAUACUGGCGAACUUGAGGGAUGCAGAGGAAAGUGGAAUUCCAGGUGUAGCGGUGAAAUGCGUAGAUAUCUGGAGGAAUACCGGUGGCGAAGGCGGCAUCCUGGACCGACAUUGACGCUGAACGGCGAAAGCUAGGGGAGCAAACGGG